CACCGCCCGUCACACCAUGGGAGUCGGUUGCUCCAGAAGCAGGUAGCCUAACCCGCAAGGGAGGGCGCUUGCCAAGGAGUGAUCGGUGACUGGGGUG
rnacentral:rRNA from 1 species